ACGGGAGGCAGCAGCUAAGAAUAUUCCGCAAUGGACGAAAGUCUGACGGAGCGACGCCGCGUGGAUGAUGAAGGUCGGAAGAUUGUAAAAUCCUUUUAUGACUGAGGAAUAUGUAAGGUGAGAGAAACGCCUUAUGGUGACUGUAGGUCAUGAAUAAGCAACGGCUAAUUACGUGCCAGCAGCCGCGGUAAUACGUAAGUUGCGAGCGUUGUUCGGAAUUAUUGGGCGUAAAGGGCAUGUAGGCGGUUUUGAAAGCUUGGUGUGAAAUCUCGGAGCUUAAAUCCGAAAUUGCGUUGAGAACUGCAUGACUAGAGUCAAUGAGGGGCAAUCAGAAUUCCAGGGGUAGGGGUGAAAUCUGUAGAUAUCUGGAAGAAUACCAAUGGCGAAGGCAGGUUACCAGCAGAUGACUGACGCUGAGGUGCGAAGGUGCGGGGAGCAAACAGGAUUAGAUACCCUGGUA
rnacentral:rRNA from 1 species